GUGCCAGCCGCCGCGGUAAGACGAAGGAUCCAAGCGUUAUCCGGAUUUAUUGGGUUUAAAGGGUGCGUAGGCGGAUUGAUAAGUCAGUGGUGAAAGCCUGAUGCUUAACAUCAGAACUGCCAUUGAUACUGUCAAUCUUGAAUAUGGUUGAUGUGGGCGGAAUAUGACAUGUAGCGGUGAAAUGCUUAGAUAUGUCAUAGAACACCGAUUGCGAAGGCAGCUCACAAAGCCAUUAUUGACGCUGAGGCACGAAAGCGUGGGGAUCAAACAGGAUUAGAUACCCUGGUAGUCC
rnacentral:rRNA from 1 species